rnacentral:rRNA from 1 species
GGGCGUAAGCGUACGCAGGCGGUUGAUUAAGCGAGAUGUGAAAGCCCCGGGCUCAACCUGGGAACUGCAUUUCGAACUUGGUCAACUAGAGUGUGAUAGAGGGUGGUAGAAUUUCAGGUGUAGCGGUGAAAUGCGUAGAGAUCUGAAGGAAUACCGAUGGCGAAGGCAGCCACCUGGGUCAACACUGACGCUCAUGUACGAAAGCGUGGGGAGCAAACAGGAUUAGAUC